rnacentral:rRNA from 1 species
UGAGGAAUAUUGGACAAUGGGUGAGAGCCUGAACCAGCCAUCCCGCGUGAAGGACGACUGCCCUAUGGGUUGUAAACUUCUUUUGUAUAGGGAUAAACCUACCCUCGUGAGGGUAGCUGAAGGUACUAUACGAAUAAGCACCGGCUAACUCCGUG